GGGCUUGACAUCCCACGAACCUGCCCGAAAAGGUGGGGUGCCCGCAAGGGAGCGUGGAGACAGGUGGUGCAUGGCUGUCGUCAGCUCGUGUCGUGAGAUGUUGGGCUAAGUCCCGCGACGAGCGCAACCCUCACCCCUAGUUGCCACCGGGUUAAGCCGAGCACUCAAGGGGAACUGCCAGCGUCAAGCUGGAGGAAGGCGGGGAUGACGUCGAGUCAUCAUGCCCCUUACGCCCUGGGCUACACACGUGCUACAAUGGCCAGUACAAAGGGACGCGAGACUGCGAAGUGGAGCUAAUCCCAAAAAGCUGGUCUAAGUUCAGAUUGCAGUCUGCAACUCGACUGCAUGAAGGAGGAAUCGCUAGUAAUCGCGUAUCAGCCCGGCGCGGUGAAUACGUUCCCGGGCCUUGUACACACCGCCCGUCACACCACGAGAGCUGUCUGUACUCGAAGUCGCUGAG
rnacentral:rRNA from 1 species